rnacentral:misc_RNA from 1 species
AAGUCGUAACAAGGUUUACCGUAGGUGGAACCGGCUGGCCUAGGAAUGGAAAUAAGUUCAGGAAAUAAUCCGGCUUAGGACCGGAAGUCGGGGUCAUUGAUCCUAGUCAAAGGGGAGUUAGGGGUAGAGCGAACAGUCCGGCUGCCUCCCGAAAUGUCUUACAUGCCCCCCACAGCCUGAAGGCCGAAUUACAACCCUUGAUUAUCUACACUUGUUGCUUUGGGGUGCUCAAGUGCCCCAGAGGACCCAAAUCUCUUGCAUUUAGUGACGUCUGAGUACUAUAUAAUAUUUAAAAA